GCCAACUCUAGCCCAAACCCCUAUACAACUGUACUACCUACAAUACUAUAACCAAACCAUUUACCUACUAUAAAAGUAUAGGCGAUAGAAAUUUCACCUCAGGCGCAAUAGAUACAGUACCGCAAGGGAAAGACAAAAACUUAAUAAAGCACAAAAAAGCAAAGACAAACCCUUCUACCUUCUGCAUAAUGAAUUAACUAGAAAUAACUUUAUAUAGAGAACUUCAAUAAUAUUCCCCGAAACCAAGCGAGCUACCCAAAGACAGCUAAAAGAGCACACCCGUCUAUGUGGCAAAAUAGUGGGAAGAUCUAUGGGUAGUGGUGACAAACCUAUCGAGCCUGGUGAUAGCUGGUUGUCCAAGACAGAAUUUCAGUUCAACCUUAAAUUUACUUACAGAUCCACUAAUCUUCUCGUAAAUUUAAUUGUUAGUCUAAAGAGGGACAGCUCUUUAGACUUUAGGAAAUAACCUUUUAUAGAGAGUAAGACAUUCCACUACUACAGUUGGCCUAAAAGCAGCCACCAAUUAAGAGUGCGUUCAAGCUCAAUACCUGACUAUCCUUGAUUCUACUAACAACACCAAACUCCUAUAACACAUUGGACUAAUCUAUUACCCAAUAGAAGCAACAAUGUUAAUAUAAGUAACAUGAAAUUAUUCUCCUCGCAUAAACUUAUCUCAGACCGAAGUAACUACUGCUAGUUAACAGUCCAACUACCACAUUCUAUAUCUUAACAUAACAUUACUUAAACUGUUAACCCAACACAGGUAUGCAUCCAGGAAAGAUUAAAAGAAGUAAGAGGAACUCGGCAAACUCUACCCCCGCCUGUUUACCAAAAACAUCACCUCUAGCAUUACUAGUAUUAGAGGCACUGCCUGCCCGGUGACACAUGUUUAACGGCCGCGGUACCCUGACCGUGCAAAGGUAGCAUAAUCACUUGUUCUCCAAAUAAGGACUUGUAUGAAUGGCCACACGAGGGUUUAACUGUCUUUUACUUCUAAUCAGUGAAAUUGACCUAUCCGUGAAGAGGCGGAUAUAACUUAAUAAGACGAGAAGACCCUAUGGAGCUUAAAUUUAAUAGUACAAACUAACAAAUUUAAAGCCAAGGCAACAACCCACCGUCCAUGUACUACAAAUUUUGGUUGGGGUGACCUCGGAGUAUAACACAGCCUCCGAAAAACAACACCAAGACCUCACCAGUCUAAGUAAAUAUAUAUAUAUAUAUAUAUAUAUAUAUAUAUACAUUCCCAUUGACCCAAUAACUUGAUCAACGGACCAAGUUACCCUAGGGAUAACAGCGCAAUCCUAUUUUAGAGUCCAUAUCGACAAUAGGGUUUACGACCUCGAUGUUGGAUCAAGACAUCCUAAUGGUGUAGCCGCUAUUAAAGGUUCGUUUGUUCAACGAUUAAAGUCUUACGUGAUCUGAGUUCAGACCGGAGAAAUCCAGGUCGGUUUCUAUCUAUUAAAUAUUCCUCCCAGUACGAAAGGACAAGAGAAAUAGGGCCCACUUCACAAAGCGCCCUCACAAAUCGAAUGAUCAUUAUCUCAAUUCCAUAAACUACUGCCCCACCCCUAGACUAGGGAUC
rnacentral:rRNA from 1 species